rnacentral:rRNA from 1 species
GAUGAACGCUGGCGGCGUGCCUAACACAUGCAAGUCGAGCGGACAGACGCGGCUUUUGCUCCUUUGACGUUAGCGGCGGGCGGGUGAGUCACACGUGUAUCCCCUACCUAUAUUUCUGAUAUCUCUUCGGGACACCGGAGCUUAUACCGGAUAAUAUAUUGAACCGCGUGGUUCAUUGGAGAUUGACGGUUUUGCUGUCUCUUAUAGCUGGUUCCGCGCCGCAUUGGCUAGUUGGUAGGGUAACGGCUUACCAAGGCGACGAUGCGUAGCCGAGCUGAGAGGGGGAUCGGCCACACUGGAACGUAGACACGGUCCAGACUCCUACGGGAGGCAGCAGUAGGGAAUCUUCGGCAAUGGGCGAAAGCAUGACGGAGCAAGGCCGCGUGAGUGAUGAAGGUCUUCGGAUCGUAAAACUCUGUUAGUAGGGAAGAACAGAUGUGGAAGGAAAUAUAGAGGUAUUGACGGUACCUAAUAAAAAAGCACCGGCUAACUACGUG